AGUGGGUUGUACCAGAAGUAGAUAGCUUAACCUUCGGGAGGGCGUUUACCACGGUAUGAUUCAUGACUGGGGUGAAGUCGUAACAAGGUAACCGUAGGGGAACCUGCGGUUGGAUCACCUCCUUA
rnacentral:rRNA from 1 species